rnacentral:lncRNA from 1 species
UCCCGUAGCAGAUUCCGGAGCCGCGCGCGGACGCCGGUCGCCCCUGGUCUCCUGGGAGCCUCGGGACCUACCCCUCCCGGGCCUCUGUGGGCCGCAGGCUGGGCUGGGGGCGCCACCGCCCAUAUCCCUGAGAGCCCCAUAGGACAAAGUCUGCAGGCCCUGCGCGCUCCGGUGGCCCUGGCGCGCGCGGGCACUCGCUCGUACCGGAAAGGUUUGGGAUUGAAUGAAGCAACGCGAUUGGAGCCCGCCCGCCGGAGAGCGGGAGAGGAUUCCCCACCCCGCCGAGCCCCACCUCUCUGAAAACGUCUCUUGAACCCGUUUCGCGGUUCCGGGUAAAUGGUUUUGCAAAUGAGCUACUCCACUACUGGUCCGCGAGACAGAGACUCCGCCCCCAACUUCAGAGAGGCUGCGCUCUUCCAAGGCUGUGGGAUCCUACGCCGAGCCACCGCAAGCUCCGCCCCCGCUUCCGCAGCCCGCGCUCCGGCCGCCACGCCCCCAGCAGUUGCAGUUUUACCGUCUCGCGAGGGGGUGUGCGGUGGCCUCUACGGGGCCCCUCACCCCACACCAGGCGGCGUCACUGAGGCCCGGGGAGCCCAAGUGAUUUUUCCCAAAGCCACUCAUCCCUCUAUAUACCUGACACCGUGCUGGGGACUGUCACAAUAAUACUAAUGAUAACUCCGCAGCCACUGGACAACUGGUCCACUGGACCAGGUGAUUUACACUUUUAAUCCAGACGACAGUGUGAAGUAGGUGUUUUUAGCUCUGUUCUUUAGAUGAGACUAAGGCCUGAGAAGCCAGGAGGGUGCCCACGGUCACACAGCUCCUUACAUUGCGCAGGAACUUUUCUCUCCCAACGUUUUAUUAAGAAUAUUUUCAACAUACAGAAAAAUGGAAAGAAGUCUGCAGUGUUCACCCACCACCUAGGAUUCAACGAUUGUUUCCCUUCUGCCAUAUUUGCUUUAUCCCUCUUUACGGGUGUGUGAGGCUUUUGUUUUUUCUGGAU